rnacentral:rRNA from 1 species
CCUACGGGAGGCAGCAGUGGGGAAUUUUGGACAAUGGGCGAAAGCCUGAUCCAGCAAUGCCGCGUGCAGGAAGAAGGCCUUCGGGUUGUAAACUGCUUUUGUACGGAACGAAACGGUCUGCUUUAAUACAGUGGGCUAAUGACGGUACCGUAAGAAUAAGCACCGGCUAACUACGUGCCAGCAGCCGCGGUAAUACGUAGGGUGCGAGCGUUAAUCGGAAUUACUGGGCGUAAAGCGUGCGCAGGCGGUUAUAUAAGACAGUUGUGAAAUCCCCGGGCUCAACCUGGGAAUUGCAUCUGUGACUGUAUAGCUAGAGUACGGUAGAGGGGGAUGGAAUUCCGCGUGUAGCAGUGAAAUGCGUAGAUAUGCGGAGGAACACCGAUGGCGAAGGCAAUCCCCUGGACCUGUACUGACGCUCAUGCACGAAAGCGUGGGGAGCAAACAGGAUUAGAUACCCUGGUAGUCCACGCCCUAAACGAUGUCAACUGGUUGUUGGGUGCAUUAGUACUCAGUAACGAAGCUAACGCGUGAAGUUGACCGCCUGGGGAGUAACGGCCGCAAGGUUGAAACGUUAAAGGAAUUGACGG